CUGUGCUCCACCUGUGCCCCGUUCGCUCGUCAUCCUCUUUGUGUAUAUAACGUCUGCAUUUCUCUCUUGGGACAGUCCUCCCUAUCACUCUGUGGUCAUUGGUGUGGCAAAGUCCAGCAUUUGGGUCCCGCCUCUGCCAGUCACACAGCCUUGUGUAUAAAUGUUGUUCAGCCUCCAAAAACAUGAUGGGGAUGAGAGACACCAGCUACAGCACUUCCUUUUAAAAACAAAGAAAUUCACCCUCGUCCUGUUUCUGGCGCUACUGGCACGAAAACACCGACCAGCAAACCACCCGGAACUAAAGCAAACAGUACAUUCCCAUCAGGGAUGUAUAAACGAGGGCAUCCUCCAGGGUACACAAACCAGUAUGUGCGCAUGGAAAGUAUUUAACGUCUUUUCAUAGUGAGCGCGCUUUUCAGUGCCUGCAAGCAGUGAGACGGGCCAUAAAGUCCAUCAACGAACUAUGCGGCUAUGGUUGAAAUGUGUUUAUUUAGUUACCCAGAAUGCACAGAGCUUUAAAUGCUGAUCAACUAUGGUGCGAAUUAGGUAUGAGCAACACUCGGGGCAGAAUAUGUUUCAUGUUACUUCCCAAAAAGCAGAAGUUAUCUUCUAAACCUCUUUCAGACCCCUAUUACUAAUGACUUCUCAGCACUGUCCUUCAUAUGAAGUGUGGCAUGAUAAGGCAACUGCAUUUUAAGUUAUUCAUCAAAUCUAUAUUUUGAAAAACUUUUUAUUACUUUUCACUCAAAGCAUUUAUGUCAGAACCCUUGAUAUGUUUUUUUAUGGAAGCUGAAAUCGAGACUUCUUUGAGAUAAAGUGUUGAAAAAAAACAUUUUAAGGGUUUAUUUAUAAUUUAUAAAUUCAGUUUAAUAGUGAUUUUCUAAUUUAAAUAUAAAACUGAAAAACACGAGUGAGAAGGGAAAAAAACAAUCUUCAACCACAAAGCAUUUUACAAAUGAAAGAAACUGGAUUGAUCAAACAAUCUUGAUCACACCCACACAUAGCCACUAACUGGUUAGUCAUUCACCACUGUGGCCUCAGCUUACGGACCGACAUGUGGUAUCUGAUUAUCAAGAACAUAUUUAGGUUUGGCAGUGAACUUCCACUCAGAGAGUGUAUAAUUAAGAUUUAGAGUACUGUUAUUCUGAGAAAGGCAACUGAUCAAAUCCCCCUGACUUUCUAAACGAUAAGCAUGCUGAACUGUAAAUGUCAUUCUAGCUGUUUUGUUGUGUAAAAUUGUGCGCUUGAGUGUGACUGAGUGGGUGUGAGCCAGCUGGCCCAAAAGUCCAGCAGUAGCAGAAGAAAUAAAAAGAGAAUUACCCCAGUUUAGACUGUGAUCCGUCAUACUCCACUCUUCAAGCACCUCUGAAACUGUCAGCACUUAAACAAUGAUAGACAUCUGUGGGCCA